AUUGAACGCUGGCGGCAGGCUUAACACAUGCAAGUCGAGCGGGGUGAUGAUGCUUGCACUAUCACUUAGCGGCGGACGGGUGAGUAAUGCUUAGGAAUCUGCCUAUUAGUGGGGGACAACAUCUCGAAAGGGAUGCUAAUACCGCAUACGUCCUACGGGAGAAAGCAGGGGAUCACUUGUGACCUUGCGCUAAUAGAUGAGCCUAAGGCGGAUUAGCUAGUUGGUGGGGUAAAGGCCUACCAAGGAGACGAUCUGUAGCGGGUCUGAGAGGAUGAUCCGCCACACUGGGACUGAGACACGGCCCAGACUCCUACGGGAGGCAGCAGUGGGGAAUAUUGGACAAUGGGGGGAACCCUGAUCCAGCCAUGCCGCGUGUGUGAAGAAGGCCUUAUGGUUGUAAAGCACUUUAAGCGAGGAGGAGGCUCGUUUGGUUAAUACCCAAGAUGAGUGGACGUUACUCGCAGAAUAAGCACCGGCUAACUCUGUGCCAGCCGCCGCUGUAA
rnacentral:rRNA from 1 species